UGGCGGACGGGUGAGUAACGCGUGGAAAACCUGCCGUAUACUGGGGGAGUAACACUUAGAAAUAGGUGCUAAUACCGCAUAAGCGCACAGCUUCGCAUGAAGCGGUGUGAAAAACUCUGGUGGUAUACGAUGGUUCCGCGUCUGAUUAGCUAGUUGGUGGGGUAAUGGCCUACCAAGGCAACGAUCAGUAGCCGGCCUGAGAGGGUGAACGGCCACAUUGGGACUGAGACACGGCCCAAACUCCUACGGAAGGCAGCAG
rnacentral:rRNA from 1 species